UGACCUCAAAUCAGGUAGGAUUACCCGCUGAACUUAAGCAUAUCA
rnacentral:rRNA from 3 species